rnacentral:rRNA from 1 species
UCCAGACUCCUACGGGAGGCAGCAGUGGGGAAUAUUGCACAAUGGGGGAAACCCUGAUGCAGCAACGCCGCGUGAAGGAAGACGGUUUUCGGAUUGUAAACUUCUGUUCUUAGUGAAGAAGAAUGACGGUAGCUAAGGAGCAAGCCACGGCUAACUACGUGCCAGCAGCCGCGGUAAUACGUAGGUGGCAAGCGUUAUCCGGAUUUAUUGGGUUUAAAGGGUGCGUAGGCGGGGUGCCAAGUCAGCGGUAAAAAUGGGGUGCUCAACGCCGGCGAGCCGUUGAAACUGGCGUUCUUGAGUGGGCGAGAAGUAUGCGGAAUGCGUGGUGUAGCGGUGAAAUGCAUAGAUAUCACGCAGAACUCCGAUUGCGAAGGCAGCAUACCGGCGCCCUACUGACGCUGAGGCACGAAAGCGUGGGUAUCGAACAGGAUUAGAUACCCGGGUA